GGUGAACGCUGGCGGCGUGCUUAACACAUGCAAGUCGAACGGUGAAGCAGGAGCUUGCUCCUGUGGAUCAGUGGCGAACGAGUGAGUAACACGUGAGCAAUCUGCCCUGGACUCUGGGAUAAGCGUUGGAAACGACGUCUAAUACCGGAUACGAGGCGUGGGGGCAUCCCCAACGCCUGGAAAGAACUUCGGUCCAGGAUGAGCUCGCGGCCUAUCAGGUAGUUGGUGAGGUAACGGCUCACCAAGCCUACGACGGGUAGCCGGCCUGAGAGGGUGACCGGCCACACUGGGACUGAGACACGGCCCAGACUCCUACGGGAGGCAGCAGUGGGGAAUAUUGCACAAUGGGCGCAAGCCUGAUGCAGCAACGCCGCGUGAGGGACGACGGCCUUCGGGUUGUAAACCUCUUUUAGCAGGGAAGAAGCGAAAGUGACGGUACCUGCAGAAAAAGCACCGGCUAACUACGUGCCAGCCGCCGCCGUAAGAC
rnacentral:rRNA from 1 species